rfam:Vigna radiata var. radiata cultivar VC1973A chromosome 7, whole genome shotgun sequence
CAUUUCCAACUCAGAUCUAAUCAUUCAAACCCUAAAUGGUUUAGAUGCUGAAUACAACCCUAUGGUGGUCAAGCUAUCGGAUCAAACCAGUCUCACUUGGGUUGAUCUGUAGGCUCAAUUGCUGACCUUUGAAA